GGCCGCGGGAAUUCGAUUCAGGCCUAACACAUGCAAGUCGAGCGGUAGAGAGAAGCUUGCUUCUCUUGAGAGCGGCGGACGGGUGAGUAAUGCCUAGGAAUCUGCCUGGUAGUGGGGGAUAACGUUCGGAAACGGACGCUAAUACCGCAUACGUCCUACGGGAGAAAGCAGGGGACCUUCGGGCCUUGCGCUAUCAGAUGAGCCUAGGUCGGAUUAGCUAGUUGGUGAGGUAAUGGCUCACCAAGGCGACGAUCCGUAACUGGUCUGAGAGGAUGAUCAGUCACACUGGAACUGAGACACGGUCCAGACUCCUACGGGAGGCAGCAGUGGGGAAUAUUGGACAAUGGGCGAAAGCCUGAUCCAGCCAAGCCGCGUGUGUGAAGAAGGUCUUCGGA
rnacentral:rRNA from 1 species